rnacentral:ncRNA from 2 species
UUGAGCACAUUUGUAAUUGGUACCGGGAAUCUAGGUGAGAAUCCUAUGAACUGACGUCGCAGCGGUAUUUGAUGACGCAGGCUUUGUAUCACACUGCAAUUCGUUUUUGUGGGAAGUGAAAGUCAGCGGUGAAUGGAAAAUAUUCCUUUCAGAUUCAUAAGUCCGAAGACCGACCAUUUUUAUUUUAAACGC